rnacentral:lncRNA from 1 species
AUUUUAUGCGUCUAUUAUUGCUGUCAUGUUUGUUUAUUUUGAAGACAAUUUCGGCUAACAUGAUACUAUUGUGUGUUGUUAAAAUAAAUAUCACCAAUUCAAAGGAGUAGGCCUAAGAAUGCUAUAUCAAGUGAUUGCAAUUCUACGUCAUUUGUGAAAUGUUGGCCUUCCUUUUUUACUCUAUGAACAACGCAAAACAAUUAUUUUGGAUAGAAUUUUACAAUGAAUUUCUUUUGUGUCAAACACAAUUAUUAAUCAAAUAUUGAUUUCCAAAUAAAGUAUGGCAUUUUAUAAUUAUGAAGAUAUGAUUGAAAUUAAUCUGUAUUUAGAUAUUUCAUUUUUCAUAUAUUCCAAAAUAUUUCUAUUUCAUGUUUGGAUUUUCAGAUUCAUUGUUGCACCUACUAUUUAAGGCAUGUACAUGAUGAAAUGCAAAUUGAUUUUUUUUAGAAGUACUUUGGCUUUAAUAAGUGUGAUUUAUUCAAGCAUUUUUGUAUGCCUGUCACUAAUUAUGAUAUAUAAUGGUAGACUAUUUUUCAUUUAUAAAUUCAACAGAUAAGAGCAUGCCUUGGAUAACUCAGAAUUGCUUCACAUAUGUAGUUCCCAAGAUUUAAGUUUCUUCUUUUAUCUGAUCCCCUAUAAUUUCACAACAAUCAAACAUCUUAUAAAGCUACGUUUCAUUUUUUUAUCAUGAUUUAAAAUUUGUUCAUGUUUAAAAUGAAAGAGAUAGACAUAUCAAAGAAAAACUUUGCAGCUGCUAAAUUAUGUUUUACACUGUAUAAUGUAAGAGAGAGUAUUAGAAAGAAUAGUACACAUUCAAAAUUUGUUUGUUGCAAGUAUUAGCAGGUCCAAUGUCCCUACCUCAUAUUAAAAAUUUAUAUGGGAUAAUCAAUGUUAACAA